ensembl:snRNA U6 U6 spliceosomal RNA
GUGCUUGCUUUGUCAGCACAUUUACUAAAAUUGUAACCAUACAGAGAUUAGCAUGGCCCCUGUGCAAGGAUGACAUGCAAAUUUGUAAAGUGUUCCAUAUUUUU